UUUGGUCAGGGGUAAGGAGACUGAUUUCCACAUUGAACCUGAACUAACUCUGGAGCUGAUGAUGGCUGCUAACUAUCUCCACACUUGAGUGAAUUACUGUACUUGCUUCUUGAGUGGCGAGUACUUUUAACAUGCUCAACUGCUUAAGGAUGAUAUUGUUGCCUGAGAAGGCUUAAAGAUACUAGGAUUCUGUUUUAAUGCCCUGCAUUGGAGUUCAUUGCCACUGCAAAAAGUUGUAUUCAGAAGUAUAUUUGAAUGUUAAUUGUCAUUACUUAAGAGUAGUGUAAGACCUAUGUAGCCGAAAAUGUAUGUAGUAAUUGAAUGAUUUAACUUGGUUGCUGUAUGCUAUAGAACUCAAGUGGCAAGUCUUAUGAAGAGAAACAUUGUUUCAUCAUGUUCUCUGUCAAAGAAGUAUUUUGCUUGACGUUCUUAAGCUUAUAUAAUGUCAUACUUUUAUUAGUCA